CUCUUUAGCUUGGCAUUUGAAUCGGCUUUGCUGUUGCGAAGUAGAGUGGCGGCUUCGGCUGCCGAGGGUCGAUCCAUUUGGGAAAUGUUGUGUACUUCGGUAUGCAUCUCAAUUGGACCUGAUAUCAGGCAAGAUUACCCGCUGAACUUAAGCAUAUUAAUAAGCGGAGGAAAAGAAACUAACAAGGAUUCCCCUAGUAACGGCGAGUGAAGCGGGAAGAGCUCAAGCUUAAAAUCUCCGUGCAAGUUUUGCGCGGCGAAUUGUAGUCUAUAGAGGCGUGAUCAGUGUGGGCGCUUGGGGCAAGUUCCUUGGAAGAGGACAGCAUGGAGGGUGAUACUCCCGUUCAUCCCUGAGUUGCUCGUGCGUACGAUCCGUUUUCUUUGAGUCGCGUUGUUUGGGAAUGCAGCGCAAAGUAGGUGGUAAAUUCCAUCUAAAGCUAAAUAUUGGUGCGAGACCGAUAGCGAACAAGUACCGUGAGGGAAAGAUGAAAAGAACUUUGAAAAGAGAGUUAAAGAGUACCUGAAACUGCUGAAAGGGAACCGAAUCGUUUCCAGUGUCUAUAAUCCGUGGUAUAUUUCAUUGGCGAGUGUGUGCGUGCGUGUGCUGUGGCAGCGGCUUUUUUGGCUGCGCUCGGCGUGUGUGCUGUGUGUGCUUGCUGGUGCCCUGUGCUGCGGUGGGACGUCAAGGUCAGUUCGUAUGCUGCGGGAAAUGGCCGCCGAGGAGGUAGGGCUUACGCUUGCGUUUGUCUGUUAUAUCUUGGUGGACGAGUAGUCGCGGUUGGGACUGAGGUGCCUACAACGUGUUUUUGAGUGGGCCUGUGUCUCUGUGUGCGCCGUGUGCGGAUAGCUUGCUAUGCGUGUGUGGUUGUGUGUGGAUUGAUGUGGGUUUUAACUUGUUGCCGUUCGGGACGUUGACGAAAUGGAGCGAUUUGACCCGUCUUGAAACACGGACCAAGGAGUCUAACAUGUGUGCAAGUGUUAGGGUGUGGAAACCCCAGCGCGAAAUGAAAGUGAAGGGCAGCGUAAGUUGUCUGAGGUAGGAAAUGCUGCGGGCUUCGGUCUGCGGUGUGGCACUAUCGACCGAUCAUGAACCUUCGUGGUGAAAGAUUUGAGUUUGAGCACAUAUGUUGGUACCCGAAAGAUGGUGAACU